rnacentral:rRNA from 1 species
CCUACGGGAGGCAGCAGUGAGGAAUAUUGGUCAAUGGCCGUAAGGCUGAACCAGCCAAGUUGCGUGAAGGAAGAAGGAUCUAUGGUUUGUAAACUUCUUUUAUAGGGGAAUAAAGGUAUCCACGUGUGGAUAUUUGCAUGUACCCUAUGAAUAAGCAUCGGCUAACUCCGUGCCAGCAGCCGCGGUAAUACGGAGGAUGCGAGCGUUAUCCGGAUUUAUUGGGUUUAAAGGGUGCGUAGGUGGUUUUUUAAGUCAGCGGUGAAAGUUUGUGGCUCAACCAUAAAAUUGCCGUUGAAACUGGCAGACUUGAGUGUGGUAGAGGUAGGCGGAAUGCGUGGUGUAGCGGUGAAAUGCAUAGAUAUCACGAAGAACUCCGAUUGCGAAGGCAGCUUACUAGACCAUAACUGACACUGAGGCACGAAAGCGUGGGGAUCAAACAGGAUUAGAUACCCUUGUAGUC